AACCCGUAUAAGCUCUGGUGUUGACAGCUGGGAGGCAGCUGCGACUGUGACGGCGCCCCUCACUGUACCCUCCUCCCCCAUCGUAUGGCCAGAGUUGAACCCUCCUUCUAAGUCCUGGAACAGCACCCACUUCUUUAAGGGAAGCUGACUCCACCAAGUGUCUUCACUCCCGCUGGAACCAUCCCUCCCGAGCCUGGAAGCCCUGCACGUGCGCUGGUCCCACCUGGUCACGGCAAGUUAGGGGUGAAAGAGCCCAGCCCGGGCCCUUUCUGUUUACCCGAGAGCUGUACUGCCCAGAGCCCAGAGGGACUGAACAGACACUAGCCACGCCUUCCACGCUACACCGGUUUUCCAAGACUUUUCUGGGUCUAGUUGCUUUCCGGCCUGAUGACUUCCUUCUUAUUGGAUCAUUCUCUCUUUCACAUAUCGAGCCUGGAUUAGGUCAGUCCCUGAGGACAGUAAAGCCCGCUGGGACCCCUCAGCUGCCCCCCCCCCCCCGCUGACCAUGGAAGACCAUCAGCCUGAGCAUCCAGCCUCUACUAAAGACAGCACUGCAGACGCAGUCAGCCCAGAGAACCACGAGGUCCCGUCAGAAGCAGAGGAGCACCCUCAGGACAGGGAUGCCAAAGAUGCUGAUGGGGCAGCUGGAGAACGGGAGCUGGCCGAGCAAAGUUCGCCGCUGGCCCAGGGCCAGGAUAACCUCAAGCCCCUCUCACCUGACGCUAGCUCAAGCCAACCGGGGCCAGCUCAGGGGACGCAGCCCGAGGCAGAGACGGUGGGGGCCUGCUCCAGGCCGCAGGAGCUCCCCCAGUCCCCCAGAGCCCGACAGCCUGAGCUAGACUUCUACUGUGUAAAGUGGAUCCCCUGGAAGGGAGAACGGACACCCAUCAUCACCCAGAGCGCUAACGGCCCGUGCCCUCUCCUCGCCAUCAUGAACAUCCUCCUUCUUCAGUGGAAGGUGAAGCUGCCACCUCAGAAGGAAGUGAUCACAUCAGAUGAGCUCAUGGCCCAUCUUGGAGACUGCCUUCUGUCCAUCAAACCCCAGGAGAAGUCAGAGGGACUUCAGCUUAAUUUCCAGCAGAAUGUGGACGAUGCAAUGACAGUGCUGCCUAAGCUGGCCACAGGGCUGGAUGUCAAUGUGCGGUUCACAGGCGUCUCUGAUUUUGAGUACACACCCGAGUGCAGUAUCUUUGACCUACUAGGCAUACCUCUGUACCAUGGCUGGCUUGUUGAUCCACAGAGUCCUGAGGCUGUGAGCGCAGUUGGGAAACUGAGCUACAACCAGCUGGUGGAGAAGAUCAUCACCUGCAAACACUCCAGCGACACCAGCCUGGUGACAGAAGGCCUGAUUGCAGAGCAGUUCCUGGAGACCACGGCCGCACAGCUGACCUACCAUGGUCUGUGUGAGCUGACGGCGGCUGCCAAGGAGGGCGAACUUAGCGUCUUUUUCCGGAACAACCACUUUAGCACAAUGACUAAGCACAAGAGUCACUUAUACCUACUGGUCACUGACCAGGGCUUUCUACAGGAGGAGCAGGUGGUGUGGGAGAGCCUGCACAACGUGGAUGGAGACAGCUGCUUUUGUGACUCUGACUUCCACCUGAGUCAUUCCCUGGGCAAGGGGCCUGGCGCAGAAAGUGCGAGCGGCUCCCCAGAGAAGCAGCGGCAGGUGGACCAGGACUACCUGAUCGCCUUGUCCCUGCAGCAGCAGCAGCAGCAGCCGCAGGGCACGUUAGGUCUUAGUGACUUGGAACUGGCCCAGCAGCUUCAGCAAGAGGAGUACCAACAGCACCAAGCGGUCCAGCCCGCACCGGCACGGGCCCCGUCGCCGCCGCAGGGGCGAGGAGCCACAUCUGGACGCCCAGCCGCCGAGCGUCGGCAAAGACCGAAGCAAGAGUCCGACUGUGUCCUCCUGUAGCGCCGUCAGCGCCAGGCUGCCUAGCCUCUACGUCCGGAGGCUGGGGCUCUGUGGCUUGCUCCCCCAGCUCAACUUGAGAUAUUCAGGAGUUUCCUCAGUCACUUGACUCAAGAGACCCUUCCCAGAGCUGCCUGAAACCCACACUUACGGCAUCCCCACAGACCAUAAACCCCCAUGAAGAAGCAAAAGAGAGUGAUGAAGUGAAAACAGGAUGCUGUAUUUUAUUUGGACUCAUUACCUAAUUGUCAGUGGGCCUGAUGGCUACUGUAUUUUAAAUUGCCUGUCUCAUCGGUUUUUUGUUGUGAUACAGAUUGCUGAGUGCUCCCCAGUACCCGUUCUUCUCUUCUUCCAACUCUUGUUACUCCCCGGUUGUAGAACUGGGGCAAGAGUCACUUAUUAACCGAGUAUCCCCAGGGGUGCACAGGCACUCUCCGCACAAACCUACAUCAAAUAUAAUUCCAGUCCUGUUACUUGAGCACGUACUUGGCAUCUCACACUGCCCUCACAUCUUUACAAUGAACAUUCCCUUUAUGGUUCAAUUUGGUCUGACUUUAUCCUGAAUCAGCCGUCACUAAAUGUUCAUUUUUCUAAAUAAAUAUUUAUCACAACCUAUG